CAGUCGCCACGGUAAUACAGAGGAUGCAAGCGUUAUCCGGAAUGAUUGGGCGUAAAGCGUCUGUAGGUGGCUUUUCAAGUCCGCCGUCAAAUCCCAGGGCUCAACCCUGGACAGGCGGUGGAAACUACCAAGCUGGAGUACGGUAGGGGCAGAGGGAAUUUCCGGUGGAGCAGUGAAAUGCAUUGAGAUCAGAAAGAACACCAACGGCGAAAGCACUCUGCUGGGCCGACACUGACACUGAGAGACGAAAGCUAGGGGAGCAAAUGGAAUUAGAGACCCCUGUAGUCCCUGUCUCUUAUAC
rnacentral:rRNA from 1 species